rnacentral:rRNA from 1 species
GACGAACCGUCCAAACGUUAUUCGGAAUUACUGGGCUUAAAGGGUGCGUAGGCGGCGCGGAAAGUUGGGUGUGAAAUCCCUCGGCUCAACCGAGGAACUGCGCCCAAUACUACCGUGCUCGAGGGAAAUAGAGGUGAGCGGAACUUAGGGUGGAGCGGUGAAAUGCGUUGAUAUCUACAGGAACUCCGGUGGCGAAAGCGGCGUGCUGGACCUCUUCUGACGCUGAGGCGCGAAAGCUAGGGGAGCAAACGGG